rnacentral:lncRNA from 1 species
CGGCGCGCCCUGCGGGAGCAGCUGGAGCAAAUGCAUCGGGAGAGGACCGAGCGGCUGCGGGCCCUCGGGGCCAGGUGAGGGGCGGGCAAGGAGGGGUGUGGCGGUGGCAGGAGGCCCCUUUCCCUGGCCUCCGAAAUGACAAGCCGCUCUCUCCCCAGGAACACCCAGAACUUCCUGGAACUACUGUGUUCCCCUGGUGCUGAGGAUCCCGUGCCUGCGAAGUAGUGCUCGCCUUUCCCAGCCCCCUCUGAUAUUCCUCCUUCCAGAAGUUCUGCCGUAACGUGUCUAUGUUGAGCUGCCGUGACAUGGUGGCCAGGGAAGGAGUGGCACCAGGGUGGCCACAGCUGAGGGGUGAGCACAGCAAGCAGAGUGCUUCUGACGGCGAGUGGCUGCCCAGGCACAGUCACCUGGCAACCAUGCCUCACCUCACACAGGGCCAGGGUUCUACUUGCCAUGCCCCCAGCAGACCCCAUGAGCCUGGCUUCCUGAGGCAGCCUGAGGCCAGGGCCCACUGGUUAAGAGCCCUGCUCCCCAAAACUCCCGCAGGGCCCACGCGGGAUCUGGCAUCACAGGCUCCCAGGUUUCGUGUGCUUUCUGCUUCUGUCCUUUGGAUCUGGCCCCCUUCCCAGCCCAAUGCCGAGCAAGGUAGGGGAGGCAGGAGCUGGGCUCAAGCCUCCUCCCAUUCCUCCCCAGACCAGAGCUGGUCUUCUCUGAUCCAAGGACCAGUCCUUGAGUUCUGCCUCCCGGCACAAUCCUCCUGGGCCAGCUCUUCUAUGCCUGUCUUUGGCAGCACCUUUUCCAUCCUUGCCAACCGAAUCUGCCCCAUGGCCUCACCCCACACGUGUCCUUUCCAGCACCCAACCCGUCUGGAGAGAAGCAAGAAUAUGACUUUAAUUUAACAUCAACAAUGACACUGUGUAACAGCACAGGGAAGAGGUAGUGGAGGGAGAUGGUCAGGCUUCCUGUUCCUUAACCAGCUUUGAUUUUAACAGCAGAGCCCCAGCAACCUAGAAGCGCCUCACCUAGCCUCUUAAUGGAGUGGGAAGGAGCAGGGAAUUGGAAAUCAGAGGCUCAAAAAGUAAAGAAGGCUGAUGGCAAGCCUGGGGAGAGGCCUGGAAACGAGGGAAGGGCUGAGGGCUAUGAGGAGUCCCCUAGCGCAGGUCUUCGGCAGUGAACAUGCCCCUGGCCCUGCGCAGGAUGGAGUCCUUGGCGGCGUCAUAUGGGUGCUCCUUGGAGGGGAUCUCCAGGACAGCGGGGAUGGACUGCUGGUGGGCGUCCAGGGCAUGCCGCACCAUCUCUGCGAUGUACUGGUUGAUGAGGAUGAUGCCAAUGUCAUCCCGGUUUAGAAAUUGCCUGUGGGGAGAGAUGAGAAGGGAGUCCAGGACAGCUCUGGGGGCUGCCGUCUCUCCUACCCAGGCAGCCCUCUCCGAGUUGUUGGGCUGGGCUGUGGAGGGGAAUGAGCAUGACCCAGAGGGCACAGAGGACAAGGGGAAAGGCUGCCACGCUCAACCCUCUGUCAACCCUAUCUAGAAUCAAUUUCAUCCCAAAGCGGGGGGUCACGCUGAUUAGGGUUGGCUUCUACAACACGGCCCGGAAGGCUUCCAAGUGAACUGGUAAUGAAGAUUGAUUAGGGUGCACACUGGUGUAUUCAAUAUGCAGUGAUGUGUCAGAAAGGGGAAGGAUAAGAUUAUAUGUAUGCAGAUCCCUUUUUAUGUGCAGAUACUGAAGGCCAGCUGUGAUGGCUCACGCCUGUAAUCCCAGCACUUUGGGAGGCUGAGGCAGGUGGAUCGCUUGAACCCAGGAGUUUGAGACCAGAAUGGGCCACACAGUGAGACCCCCAUCUCCUUCUCUCUCUCUCUAUCUAUAUAUACACACACAAAAAAAUGGCUGGAUGUGGCGGAUCUAUCUAUCUAUCUAUAUAUAUACACACACAAAAAAAAUGGCUGGAUGUGGCGGCAUGUGCCAGCUACUUGGGAAGCU